rnacentral:rRNA from 1 species
CUGGUGGUGAGCAUGGCUCACCAAGGCUACGAUGGGUAGGGGUUCUUAGUGGAAGAUCCCCCACACUGGCACUGAGAUACGGGCCAGACUCCUACGGGAGGCAGCAGUAGGGAAUAUUGGUCAAUGGGCGAAAGCCUGAACCAGCCAUGCCGCGUGCAGGAUGACAGCUCUCUGAGUUGUAAACUGCUUUUGUACAGGAGCAAAACAAUCCCUGCGGGGGUUCUUGAGAGUACUGUAAGAAUAAGCACCGGCUAAUUCCGUGCCAGCAGCCGCGGUAAUACGGAAGGUGCAAGCGUUAUCCGGUUUUAUUGGGUUUAAAGGGUGCGUAGGCGGCUUAUUAAGUCAGUUGUGAAAUCCUAGUGCUUAACGCUAGAACUGCAAUUGAUACUAUUAGGCUUGAGUAAAGAAUAGGUAAA